rnacentral:rRNA from 1 species
CCUACGGGAGGCCGCAGUGAGGAAUAUUGGUCAAUGGGCGGAAGCCUGAACCAGCCAAGUAGCGUGCAGGAUGACGGCCCUCCGGGUUGUACACUGCUUUUAUACGGGAAUAACGCGCCUUACGUGUAGGGCUUUGCAUGUACCGUAUGAAUAAGGACCGGCUAAUUCCGUGCCAGCAGCCGCGGUAAUACGGAGGGUCCGGGCGUUAGCCGGAUUUAUGGGGUUUAAAGGGAGCGUAGGCCGCAUGUCAAGCUUGCUGUGAAAUGUCCGGGCUCAACCCGGGCCUUGCAGCGCGAACUGGCGUGCUUGAGUCCGCGGAAAGCAGGCGGAAGUCGUCGUGUAGCGGUGAAAUGCGUAGAUAUGACGAAGAACCCCGAUUGCGAAGGCAGCUUGCUGCAGCGGAACUGACGCUGAUGCUCGAAAGCGCGGGUAUCGAACAGGAUUAGAUACCCCUGUAGUC